rnacentral:rRNA from 1 species
UACGUAGGGUGCAAGCGUUAAUCGGAAUUACUGGGCGUAAAGCGUGCGCAGGCGGUUUUGUAAGUCUGUCGUGAAAGCCCCGGGCUCAACCUGGGAAUUGCGAUGGAGACUGCAAGGCUUGAAUCUGGCAGAGGGGGGUAGAAUUCCACGUGUAGCAGUGAAAUGCGUAGAGAUGUGGAGGAACACCGAUGGCGAAGGCAGCCCCUGGGUUAACACUGACGCUCAGGCACGAAAGCGUGGGGAGCAAACAGG